rnacentral:rRNA from 1 species
CCUACGGGGUGCAGCAGUGGGGGAUAUUGCACAAUGGGGGGAACCCUGAUGCAGCGACGCCGCGUGGGUGAAGAAGCGCCUCGGCGCGUAAAGCCCUGUCAGCAGGGAAGAAAAUGACGGUACCUGAAGAAGAAGCCCCGGCUAACUACGUGCCAGCAGCCGCGGGAAUACGUAGGGGGCAAGCGUUAUCCGGAUUUACUGGGUGUAAAGGGGGCGCAGACGGCGAUGCAAGCCAGGAGUGAAAGCCCGGGGCCCAACCCCGGGACUGCUCUUGGAACUGCGUGGCUGGAGUGCAGGAGGGGCAGGCGGAAUUCCUGGUGUAGCGGUGAAAUGCGUAGAUAUCAGGAGGAACACCGGUGGCGAAGGCGGCCUGCUGGACUGCAACUGACGUUGAGGCCCGAAAGCGUGGGGAGCAAACAGGAUUAGAUACCCGAGUAGUC